rnacentral:lncRNA from 1 species
GAAGUGAAAUCCAUAAGCUAUUUCAUAUAGAAGUCUUCAAAAGAUAUCAAGUCAGGAGAGUUAAUUCACAUCCCUUUCUUGGAGUCGAUGUCUCAGAUUACCUCGUUAUAGGUUUUAAGAUCAUCUCUAUAUUUCCUAUCUCCCAUGAGAAAUGACUUUCUCUACAUCUUCUGUUUAGCAUACCCAAGUACCUUUCGAGAGGAUUGGAGAUCCUACUGUGUGUAUGAGGUGG